UCGUGAAUGUCGAAUUAUCUUUUUUUCUUCUUUUCUCGUUGUAAAGUGUGUCGGAGUAUGGCUCAUUUGCUUGGCAGGGGGGCAUGGGAUGAAUAAAAUAGCGUCUGGUGAUGUUCUUGGACCACAAUCACAUACGAUGGAAUUAUGAUGUCGAUCAAAUCAAUAGUGUAGUCCGUCCGUGUAGCAUGAUACUCCGUACUUACGUCCAUAAUCCAUUUUGUUACUCACUCCGUUUCUAAUUGCAC
rnacentral:lncRNA from 1 species